rnacentral:rRNA from 1 species
GACGAACGCUGGCGGCGUGCCUAACACAUGCAAGUCGAACGGAAAGGCGCUGAUUUUGUUGCGUGCUCGAUUGCCGAACAGGUGAGUGUAACGUGUGUAACCCGCCCUUGUCAUUCGGAUAACUUCAGGAAACAGCGGCGCAUAUCGGAUAUGAGCUCCUGCAGCACGGUGUGCGUCGGAAAGUUUCGGCUGUUUGGGAUGGACUAGCGGCUUAUCCGCUUGUUUGUGAGGUUGGGGCUUACCAAGGUUUCGACGGGUAGCCGGCCUGGGAGGCUUACCGGCGACAUGGGGACUGAGAGAGGGACCAGACUGCAACGGGAGGCAGCAGUGGAGAAUCUUGCACAAUGGGCGGAAGUCUGAGGCAGCAACGUCGCGUGCGGAAUGACGGGCUUCGGGGUGUAAACCGCUUUCGACUGAGACGUAGCGUGAGUGACGGUAAUGGGUAAGGAAGCACCGGCUAACUACGUG